rnacentral:lncRNA from 1 species
GAGGCCCCCCGAGACCUUAACCAAAGGCACCAACAAGUCUAAUACCACCGUCCGAAUGUGUACAAUCCAUAAAACACCUAAAACAACAUCGAAAUCUCAAAUUAACCAUGGAUUCAAGCCUAAGAACUCCAAUUUUCUCAAAAUACACUUUCGAUCAAAAAGUGUAUCAAACCUUGUCCGAAUGAACUUAAAUUUUGCACACACGUCAUAUUCAACAAUACGGAGCUACUCCAGAAUUCCAUUAUGACCCUCGAAUCAAAAUCUCCCUAUUCGAACCGGAAACUUUAAAAAUCCAUCUUUCGGCAUUUCAAGCCUAAAUUAGCUACGGACCUCCAAAACACAAUCCGACCAUGCCUUUAAGCCCGAAAUCACCCAACAAAGCUAACAUAACCAUCAGAUUUCCAUUUCAAGGCUGUGUUCACACUGUUCCGACUAUGGUCAAAUUUCCAAGACUUAAGCUCUCAUUUAGGGACCAAGUGUUCCAAACUCUCCGAAAUUCAAAAACCGAACAUCCCGACAAUUAAAAAUAGCAGAAAUAAAUACGAGGAAAGUAGUUUAUAGGGGAUUAAGACGUUAAUUCUUAAGAUGAUUGACCAUGUCGUCAUAAGUCUUGAUGGGAUAUUCGGAGAGACAAAGGUUAUAUCUUAUCAGAACUUGCUACCAAUCGAAUAGCUAUAAAUAGGGAUGUGGUAUUCAAGAAGUAUGUGUUCCUUUUUACAAAAACAAUAAGAGAUUCCAUCGGUCAAAAUACUCAUAUUGACCACUAGGAUUUUGGCAUACUUGAUGCUGGAAUGCUGUCUAUAUAAGUUGCAUACAACUCACUAGACGUAGGUCAAGGUUCAGAUGUGGGUCAACGCGUAGCUUUACUUAUAGUUGACAACGUAGUUGAAGACACUGCAUAGGGAGACAAUAAGCUAUAGGAAAGCUCACCAUAUGAAAGUAUCACUCUAGUCAUAUAGGAAGAUGAACCUCAUGAUCUUAAUCAAGACAUGACCACUGAUGUUGCACAUCUUCCAUUGAGAAAAUCCUCCAGGACCUCCAUACAAUCUAUUUGGCCAAGAGAUUAUGUCACAACACACAAGGGAACUAGUAAGUAUCCCAUCACUAACUAUAUAUCAUAUGACAAAUUCACACCAAAGUACCAAAGCUAUUUGGAAAAGUUUUCUACAUUGGUUGAGCCUAGAUAUUUCAAACAAGCUGCAAAAGAUGCUAGAUGUAUUAAAGUAACGAGAUAAGAAAUCAAGGCUUUAGAGGAAGUUGUAGACUUACCAUCAGGGAAACACAUUGUAGGAUCCAAAUGGGUCUACAAGAUCAAGCACCAAGCAAAUGAAGACAUUGAGAGUUCAAGGCUGGACUAGUUGCAAAAGGUUAUAGCCAACAAGAGGGUCUAGAUUAUCAUGAUACUUUCUCUCAUGUAGUGAAGAUGGUAACGGCAAGGUCAUUCAUAGCCUUGGAUGUUUCUAAAGGUUGGAAUUUAUACUAGAUGGAUGUCUACGAUGACUUUUUACAAUAUGAUCUUAAUGAAGAAGUUUGCAUGGAUAUGCCUGAAGGUUUUAGGAGGCAAGAGGAGCUGAUGGUUUGCAAAUUUCUUAAGUUCUUGUAUGGACUUAAGCGUGUAUCAAGACAGUAAGACAGUGGAACAUUAAUUUGUCUGAUACAUUGGCAGCAGCAUAUUUCAUACAAAGCAAUUAUGACUAUUCCUUAUUCACAUUAAAAUAACUAGACAUCAUGGUGAUCAUCCUAGUGUAUGUGGAUGAUUUUCUCAUCACAACCAGCAAUGAUCAGCUGAUUACUGAGGCAAAUCAGAUACUCCAUCAGUAAUUCAAGCUAAAGGACUUAGGUUCUCAAAUACUUCUUGGGCAUUGAAAUCAUAAGGUCAGCAACUGCGGUACUUCUUAAUCAAAGGAAGUAUGUCCUAUAACUCAUUUGUGAAAUGGGACUUAGUGGUGCCAAUAUACCAAUCAACCCUUUGGAGACCAAUAUCAAGUAAACUACAAUUGCAUAUGAUCAGGAAGCAGGUUCCACAAGUGACUCACUUUUAAACGAUGUUAGUGCAUAUCAAAGAUUGAUUGGUCAUUUGAUGUAUGUUACUACAACAAGACAUGAUAUUAGUAUGCUAUUCACACCUUGAGCCAGUUCAUGCAACACAUUAAGAAGUCCCACUAGGAGGUUGCUUUUAAGGUGGUUAGAUAUUUGAAGAAUGCGCUAGGCCAAGGUAUUUGGUUGAUGUCUGGUCCUGCAUCAGAGUUAAAAUAUAGGUGUGAUUUUGAUUAGGCAGCUUGCAGCAAUACUAGGAGAUCAGUAACAUGUUAUAUGGUAAAAUUUGGUGAAUCUCUCAUUUCAUAGAAGUCAAAGAAGAAACAAAGAGUGUCAAGAAGUUCAGGUGAAGCUGAAUAUCGUAGCAUGGCUUCGGGCUUCGGCUAUAGCUAAAGUUACAUGGUUGCUUGGUCUAUUUAAAGAGUUGGGAUUUACCAUCAAGCUUCAUGUUCUAGUGCAAUGUGACAACAAAUUUGCUAUACCAUUGGCUACUAAUCCUAUUUUUCACGAAUGAACAAAAUAUAUUAUGAUCGAUUGUCAUGUCAUUCACGAUAAGAUCAAGGCAAUGGUGGUCAAGAUUGUCUAUGUCCAUUCCAAAUACCAACAAGCUGAUUUACUCACCAAGAGAAUCUCUCAAGAUUCACAUUCUCAUCUUCUUAGCAAGCUUGGUGUGCUGAAUAUAUUGUACCCUCCAGUUUGAGGGGGAGUCUUAUGACUCAAGUUAGUUAGUGGUAGUUAUGGCAGUUAGUGUGUCAAUUAGUCGGUUAAUACAUACACUUAAUGCCAGCUCAUAUCCAUCUUAUAAGUUAAUGUUAGUUAGGCUCAUUACUUUUAUAAAUACUACCCUGUAUCUCCGUAGAAAGAAUAAAAAAGGAUCAUUUUUGCAAUGCCUGCUUCUUUUUUAUUUAUGUGCUCUAGAAGCUUCUGCCAUUAGAGUAGUGCAGAGCAAAUACGAAUCAGUACGACUUGUUUAGUAUGUCAGAGACUAAUACUUAUGAGGGAAUUAAGGGGAAACGACCCUUGGCAAAUAGUCGAAUUCGACAUAUUGGCCAAGUCAAUGCAGCGCAUAGGGUGUGAUAGGAUAAGGUCAUUUAUUUAGACGUCAGAGCUUUAGAGUUUGAAUUUGAUGGAGCUACACAAACCAAAAUUUUAUCAGGCAACAUUUUUGAAGAUAGCAGAUCUGACAGUUAAUAGUAGAUUACUAGCUCCAAAAUAAUUAGUCACAAUUUUAAGAUAACAAACAUUAAACCAUUUAAUAGUUGAAUGCACUUUUUCCGUAGUAAUAAGUCACUUUCCAUCAUAGAACAGACAAGAUAUUUGAUACAAUAUUCUGCAUACUCGGUCGUUUCUAUAGUGACAAAAGCAAAUCCAUGAGACUCUUUGGUUCGAAGAUCUGUUAGGAGAUGGAAAUACAGUACCUAAAAGUAAGAAAGAUAUCAGACCACUAAUGAGAGUCAUGGGUGGUAAGACUACCAUAAUUCAAUCAUCUAUUGAUGAUGUUAUCAGAAAAACAAAAUUUCAAGCAAAUUGCUAAAGAUAUUUUAGUUAGGGCAGCAUAUUUUAAAUCCCAUCUACUUAAUAGGUUAAGAAAAGUCAGGUUUGCUAUAACAGACCUACUAUAUGUCCAUAUUAUAGCUGCAAAUCUACACAAACUGAAUGUGGCACUAGUAAUAACGUACAAUAUACUAAAGUGCUUAGGAGGGUUAGUCACUAUUUUCUCAAAUGUAUCCUACCCGUCUUUUAGCCUACAUUACGACCUAUGAAAUCCUACUUGAUCCCAGAUUUUGCGAGCUUUAAUUAGCAGACAAUUACACUAUAGGCAAGCCUAUGGUACGAGCUUUGGCGGCAUAAGAAUUUUUUUGUGAGAGUGAGAAAAUUCUUCUGAUUUCAGAGUCCUUAAAAUAUACUUGAACUUAUAUUUGAGUGUGUGGACUACUUUCUCUAUAUGGUUUGUUGGUGAGGGCAUGUGAUUUGCAGAUGAUUGGUAGAGACCUUGAUUUUUGAGUUGGCACAAGGAACGUGUCAUAAUGUGAUGUAUUAGAGUCAAGUUUUAGAGUCUAGGAUGUUAGAAAGAGUCACAUGAAUAUUUUAAAUGACAUUGGCAUGAGUUUAAAACUUAGGUAAGGGUAUGAAGAGUGCAUAUGUUGGGCUCUAAGUGUUGAUAUAACUCAUUGUCAUUGGUGUGGUGUUUGAGUGUGCUUUGAAAGGUAUU